CAUCCCUCGGGGCAGCACAGGUCCCGGGCAUCCGGGCGUGACGCAGCGGGUUGUUCAGAGGAGGGAGAAACCCGCAUCGGUUAGAGCCGCCUGCUGCCCCGCGCGUCCAGUCCUGCCGUCUCUUGUCCUUGUGUCUAAGAGGAAAUCCUAGUGGAGCCCUGUCGGGGCGGGGCCCGGAGUGAGUGCGGUGUCCGAGCACCCAGUCCAGGUGUGCUUGCACGGACAACGCUUACGCGCUGGGGUCCCUAAAUGCUGUGACUUCAUUUUGGGUGCUUAUCAAGGAGAAAGUGGUGGGCCGGUCCCCAGUUCUCAGAAUUGACAUUUUGGCAGAUCAAGUUUGCAAACACGGGAACUGCAUCCCAGAGCCGGUAAUGAGACCACAGACAGCCGCUCCUCCGGUGACCUUUACAGGAGAUGGUGGCGAACAGGGCCUGAAACCAGCUGACCUGGAGUGGCCUUCCCCGUGGUGAACGGCACCAUCAUUUUCUUCCGGACACCAGCGCCACCCAAGUCCCUCCCUCUGAGCAGUGAGGAACCCAGACGCGGUGCAGACUAUGUCAAGAGCCCAUAUCUUAAAUCAUCUCAGCAUCCCAACAAACGGACUCUCUCCCCUCUGAGAUGCUCCUCCUUGUGCCAGCGAGGCCGCUGGCUCACCGACUGCUGCAGUUACAACAGAAACAGGCCGAGCACUUAGCUCGAACCCCAGCCGAAACCCAUCUUCCUGAUUCUUGCCACGCUUGCCUGAAGCAAGGACGGCAGCUUCCACCCGCCAGGCCGGAAAAGCCCUGAGCAGCGGAAGCCUAGAAGACACCCGCCCCAUGUCCCCUCCUCAACCAGGACCUCACGCUGAAUGCGUCCCAGCUGUCCCCACCCCGGGAUCACGGGCACCGUGCCUGCUCUCCUGCACGUACCCCCGACCCUUUCCCUGUAAAACCCUCGGGGUCUGUCUUGCCAGCAGAGAGGUAGGAUGUUGAGGCCUGAGCCCGCCACCUCCCGUGUAGCCGGCACCCGAAAUAAAGGGCUGCCUCUCUCCCAAA